UCCGUAGGUGGAUGAUUAAGUCAGGGGUGAAAUCCCGCGGCUCAACCGUGGAAUUGCCCUUGAUACUGGUUGUCUUGAGUCGUUGUGAAGUGGUUGGAAUAUGUAGUGUAGCGGUGAAAUGCAUAGAUAUUACAUAGAACACCGAUUGCGAAGGCAGAUCACUAACAACGCACUGACACUGAUGGACGAAAGCGUGGGGAGCGAACA
rnacentral:rRNA from 1 species